AAAAAGCGGAACAUUUGAUACUUCUUUCCUGUAAAUUUGCCUGUAAAGUUUACAACAGGAUUGUGUACGUGUUUACUCGAUUGUUCUAAGUAAGAUGAAGUUGGUUUCAUGUGAAUGUGAUGCCUAUAAACUACCGUGCUUUCUUAAGACUGG